rnacentral:rRNA from 1 species
AAAGAUUAAGCCAUGCAUGUCUAAGUAUAAGCAAUCUAUACCGUGAAACUGCGAAUGGCUCAUUAAAUCAGUUAUCGUUUAUUUGAUAGUACCUUACUACUUGGAUAACCGUGGUAAUUCUAGAGCUAAUACAUGCUAAAAACCUCGACUUCGGAAGGGGUGUAUUUAUUAGAUAAAAAACCAAUGCCCUUCGGGGCUCCUUGGUGAUUCAUAAUAACUUAACGAAUCGCAUGGCCUUGUGCCGGCGAUGGUUCAUUCAAAUUUCUGCCCUAUCAACUUUCGAUGGUAUGGUCUUGGCUUACCAUGGUUU